rnacentral:rRNA from 1 species
AUACGGAGGGUGCAAGCGUUACUCGGAAUCACUGGGCGUAAAGCGCGCGCAGGCGGCCUGAUAAGUUGGAUGUGAAAGCCUACGGCUCAACCGUAGAACUGCAUCCAAAACUGUCAGGCUAGAGUGUGGGAGAGGAAGAUGGAAUUAGUUGUGUAGGGGUAAAAUCCGUAGAGAUAACUAGGAAUACCAAAAGCGAAGGCAAUCUUCUGGAACACUACUGACGCUAAGGCAUGAAAGCGUGGGGAGCAAACAGGAUUAGAAACCCCAGUAGUCC